rnacentral:rRNA from 1 species
AGGCCUAACACAUGCAAGUCGAGCGGUAGCGGGCCUGACCACUCUCGAGUGGUUCAGGCGCCGACGAGCGGCGGACGGGUGCGUAACACGUAGGAAUCUGCCUGGUAGUGGGGGAUAGCCCGGAGAAAUUCGGAUUAAUACCGCAUACGCCCUAAGGGGGAAAGCAGGGGAUCGGUUCGCCGACCUUGCGCUAUCGGAUGAGCCUGCGUCGGAUUAGCUUGUUGGUGGGGUAAAGGCCUACCAAGGCGACGAUCCGUAGCUGGUCUGAGAGGAUGAUCAGCCACACUGGGACUGAGACACGGCCCAGACUCCUACGGGAGGCAGCAGUGGGGAAUAUUGCACAAUGGGCGAAAGCCUGAUGCAGCCAUGCCGCGUGUGUGAAGAAGGCCCUAGGGUUGUAAAGCACUUUCAGUGGGGAGGAAAGGUCGAAGGUUAAUACCCUUUGGCUGUGACGUUACCCACAGAAGAAGCACCGGCUAACUCCGUGCCAGCAGCCGCGGUAAUACGGAGGGUGCGAGCGUUAAUCGGAAUUACUGGGCGUAAAGCGUGCGUAGGCGGCCAUUUAAGUUGGAUGUGAAAGCCCCGGGCUCAACCUGGGAACUGCAUCCAAAACUGGGUGGCUUGAGUGCGAGAGAGGAGUGUGGAAUUUCCUGUGUAGCGGUGAAAUGCGUAGAUAUAGGAAGGAACACCAGUGGCGAAGGCGACACUCUGGCUUGACACUGACGCUGAGGUACGAAAGCGUGGGGAGCAAACAGGAUUAGAUACCCUGGUAGUCCACGCCGUAAACGAUGUCUACUAGUUGUCGGUGGUCUUGUACUGCUGGUAACGCAGCUAACGCGAUAAGUAGACCGCCUGGGGAGUACGGCC